ACCACCCCUUCCUGCACUGAUCAGAGACCUUGGCUCUCAGGACCCUCACUUUCUCACCUUCUACCUAGGGCAACCAGCCUGGCAGACAGGAUGCCACUCCUGAAAGCAGUCAUCCUGUCCUCCCUCUGGGCUUUUGGACUUGGACAAUUGGAGCAACCUGAAAUGUCUGUUUCCAGAGCAAAAGAUAAGAGUGCCCAAAUAUCUUGCAAGGUAUUCCUCCAAAACAUUGGUGGAAUAGACAUACACUGGUACCGAGAGAAACCAAAUCAAGGGUUAGAGCAUCUAAUAUAUGUCCGGACAAACUACAAUCAACGUCCCCUAGGAGGAAAGAACAAGAAAAUUGAGGCAAGUAAAAAUUCUCAAACUUCCACUUCGGUUUUGAUAGUAAAUUUCCUAGGGAAAGAAGACGAGGCCACAUACUACUGUGCCUGCUGGACCAGCACAGUGUUAGAGUUGCCAGGGUAACUUACACGAGAACCACCUCCAGGCCUGUGCCCACCCACCUCCUUCUCAUGUGGGUAG